GCCUAUGAUGAAGAUGAUGGAAUGCCUCGAUACUAUGCUCGAAUUCACAAGGUGAUCUCCUUGAAGCCGUUCAAGAUGAGGAUUAGUUGGCUUAAUUCAAGGAGCAACAGUGAAUUCAGCUCUGUAGACUGGGUAGCUUCUGGUUUUCCCAAGACCUGUGGGGAUUUCAGGGCUGGAAGACAUGAGAUCACUGACACAUUAAAUUCUUUUUCUCACAAGGUUAAAUGGACAAAAGGCACUCGUGGGGUCAUUUGCAUACUUCCAGGAAAGGGAGACGUUUGGGCUCUUUAUAGGAACUGGUCCUCAGACUGGGAUGAGAAUACUCCAGAUGAAGUGAUUCACCAAUAUGACAUGGUGGAAGUGCUUGAUGACUACAAUGAAGAACAAGGUGUGUCUGUUGUUCCUCUUGUUAAGGUUGCUGGUUUCAAGACAGUUUUUCAAAGGC
rnacentral:misc_RNA from 1 species